GAUGAACGCUAGCGGCAGGCUUAAUACAUGCAAGUCGUGGGGCAGCAGGUUUGUAGCAAUACAGAUGCUGGCGACCGGCAAACGGGUGCGGAACACGUACAGAACCUUCCUUUGAGCGGGGAAUAGCCCAGAGAAAUUUGGAUUAAUACCCCAUAGUAUAAUGGAGUGGCAUCACUUUAUUAUUAAAGAUUUAUCACUCGAAGAUGGCUGUGCGGCUGAUUAGGUAGUUGGCGGGGUAAAGGCCCACCAAGCCUGCGAUCAGUAACUGGUGUGAGAGCACGACCAGUCACACGGGCACUGAGACACGGGCCCGACUCCUACGGGAGGCAGCAGUAAGGAAUAUUGGUCAAUGGAGGCAACUCUGAACCAGCCAUGCCGCGUGGAGGAUGAAGGUCCUCUGGAUUGUAAACUUCUUUAUAUGGGACGAAAAAGGCUUUCUAAGUCGUCUGACGGUACCAUAUGAAUAAGCACCGGCUAACUCCGUGCCAGCAGCCGCGGU
rnacentral:rRNA from 1 species